UCUUCAAUUUAAUUGAAGUUACUUAGAAAAAUAAUCAGGCUUGAAUGGCUUUUUUUUAAGGAAAGAUUCAUGAGCAGAUCACACUUGUGUUGGCAAUGUAUAAUUUAGCUUUUUUCUUUAUUAACAGUAUAUUUAGGUAUGAGGAGAUACUGUUCUACAACAAGCCUUCUACUGCAUACAAAUAGGUUAAAAAAAAAAAAAUCCAACCCCACAUCGAUGUUAAAUUAUUCGUACACAUUGUAUUGUGCAUGCAUGUAAGAAAAUAACACUCUCUGUAACAAGAGUAAUAGUAAGGACAGUCCCUUUUUGUACCUGAAAAGUGCAGCAGACUACAGUGGAACCCUAAAACAUCUGGGGUCAAUUUACUUCUAAAAGCACUUCUGCUUGUGGAUUAUUAAUUCACUUGUUUUACACAGCGCAUGGUUCAGGCAGUUUGCACGUUUCUGGGAUAAUGGACAUGGUUUACAAAGAGGUGAAGUCAGGUGGUGGAGGGGACCUCCCACCACCCAGGAGUCCCCACUGUGUUCAGAUGGGUCAAAUCCAACCUGGGCUCCAGGUUAAGGUGCUUGGGGCCACGUGGAGGGAACGAACCCCCGGCUGCGCUGCUGGGCUCAGUGCUGGCCCUGCCAGAUGAUGGGGGGCACCAGCUGCUCAGAACUGGGGAUCACCGCUCCUCGAGCCCAGUGGCUUUGAGGGGGCUGGGUACAGAGGUGGGGAGCCGGAGCUUCCCUGCUGGGUCCUCUCUGCAGUCACCACUGCUCGACCACAACCAACACACUUCCUUCUACAACAGCUGCCCCCCGAGCGGUCCCACAGGCACAUCGCUAUUUUUGCUUUUGGCUGUGGCUGCAGUUUUGCCCGUUUGUUUCCUGGGACCAGCUGUGGCCACAGCAGAAACGAACCCGGGAUGGAGGCAGAGGUCAGGAGCAGACCAGACCCUGGUCUCUACAUGGGAAACCUUGUGAAGAGGUGGGGCCAAAACAAACUCGGUUCCUCGGCGGCCCCCACACUGCAGGUGGUGGUGGCCAGCUUGCUCAGAUAAGGAGGAACGACCCUGAACAUCUGCGUGGGUGCAGUGGAAAUAAAUAGUUUUUGGCUCAGUCAAAACAACACACCCAAUAGACCAAAAAAAGGCUAUUCCUGAACAUUUGUGGCCCUUCCCUGACCUGGUGAGGGCUUCCUGCUCACCAUGCAGGACACAGUCAUAUCCAGCAUGUCAGAUGUUCGAUCUACAGCCCAUUCACAGCACCCCAAAAUAGACAACACACUAGAUGGACAGUCAGUAGUAGCUAGGGAUCAAGGUUUUUAAAAAGUGACUUCUUUUAAGUACCCACUUAAGUCCAUGUAAAAGACAUGUUAGUGCUGAGCAUCCACCCUUAGAGCAGCCCUCUAGGGGAAUUUGGUUAAUCAAACCCAAAGCUGCUGCUAAAAAUCCCUGCUUGAGCAGUGUUCACCCCUCAGACCUCCUGAACGUGUUUUUUACCUAAAGCUUUUCUAUCAUAGCUCUCAAAUAGGGUUUUUGUGUCUCCAAAGCAAACUAAGACUAUUUCAGAACAUAAAAAACACGGUGGUGACAGAGAAAAGUACAAAAAGAAAAGAGGGAAGCAUACCCCAUUUUUAAAAUACUUACCUUCUUAAGCCAUUUUUUUCUUAAAUGAAAAACUUCACAUUACAUUCUUGGAGGGAUUAACAGCUAACUGAAGAGAAGACUGGACUAAAAUAUGAACACUGUCAGAUACAAGACCAAACAAGCACACAAAUAGCUGGAGGGCAAUAUUGGGGGGCGGGGGGUGAGAGGGGGAAUCUAUCCUCAGAGAGAUUUAAAAAAA